rnacentral:rRNA from 1 species
CCUACGGGUGGCAGCAGUGGGGAAUAUUGCACAAUGGGGGAAACCCUGAUGCAGCGACGCCGCGUGAGUGAAGAAGUAUUUCGGUAUGUAAAGCUCUAUCAGCAGGGAAGAAAAUGACGGUAUCUAAUUAAGAAGCCCUGGCUAAAUACGUGCCAGCAGCCGCGGUAAUACGUAGGGGGCAAGCGUUAUCCGGAUUUACUGGGUGUAAAGGGAGCGUAGGCGGCAGCACAAGUCUGGAGUGAAAUGCCGGGGCUUAACCCCGGAACUGCGUUGGAAACUGUGCCUCUAGAGUGCAGGAGAGGUAAGUGGAAUUCGUGGUGUAGCGGUGAAAUGCGUAGAUAUUAGGAGGAACACCAGUGGCGAAGGCGGCUUACUGGACUGUAACUGACGUUGAGGCUCGAAAGCGUGGGUAGCAAACAGGAUUAGAUACCCGGGUAGUC